rnacentral:tRNA from 1 species
GGUCCUAUAGCUCAGUCGGUAGAGCGUGUGGCUGUUAACCACAAAGUCGGAGGUUCAAGCCCUCCUGGGACCG